rnacentral:tRNA from 1 species
GCGGGUGUAGCUCAGUCUGGUAAGAGCGCCUGGUUUGGGGCUAGGAGGUCGGCAGUUCGAAUCUGUCCACCCGCA